GGCUCGUUGGUCUAGGGGUAUGAUUCUCGCUUUAGGUGAAAGAGGUCCUGGGUUCAAAUCCCGGAAGAGCCC
rnacentral:tRNA from 1 species